rnacentral:rRNA from 1 species
GAUGAACGCUGGCGGCGGGCCUAAUACAUGCAAGUCGAGCGAACGGACGAGAAGCUUGCUUCUCUGAUGGUAGCGGGGGACGGGGGAGUAACACGUGGAUAACCUACCUAUAAGACUGGGAUAACUUCGGGAAACCGGAGCUAAUACCGGAUAAUAUUUUGAACCGCAUGGUUCAAAAGUGAAAGGCGGUCUUGCUGUCACUUAGAGAUGGAUCCGCGCUGCAUUAGCUAGGUGGUAAGGUAACGGCUUACCAAGGCAACGAUGCAUAGCCGACAUGAGAGGGUGAUCGGCCACACUGGAACUGAGACACGGUCCAGACUCCUACGGGAGGCAGCAGUAGGGAAUCUUCCGCAAUGGGCGAAAGCCUGAUGGAGCAACGCCGCGUGAGUGAUGAAGGUCUUCGGAUCGUAAAGUUCUGUUAUUAGGGAAGAAGAUAUGUGUAAUUAACUGUGAACAUCUUGACGGUACCCAAACAGAAAGCCCCGGCUAACUACGUG